rnacentral:lncRNA from 1 species
GUUUUAGAAUUAUAUAAGGUAACUGAACACAAUUGUUUAGAUUGACACUUCGAUAAAUUGUUAAGCUGCCUUUUGUCUAUUUUAUUUUUUGAAGUUGAGAUGAAGUUAGAAAAAGAAAAUCAGUGAGGGAGUUGAUGUAGUUGGAGUGGUUGAACUCCUACUUGCAGCUUAGGUGGUCCAAGGUUCAAUCUCCGGUACCUCUUUAAAAAAAAAAAAGGCAACAAAAACGGUGGGCGUGACGUCAUCAACACGGCGACGGAAGUCAUACCCUGAAAUAGCCUCCGCUGACACUCUGGGGAAUGGUAGACUGGAGAAGGACGCCACAAAUGCUGAACCGAAGAAAGAGAAAGCUAUCAGGGCUGAUUAUGUUAUCUGCUCCAUAAAAUAGAGUCUGCUGUCAAAAUAUUGCUUUUUCUAGAGAGAUGGAAGCUCUGAACUACACAUGUUAUUAAAGGAGCCUCAACAAGACUUGGAUUCCUUGUAUUCUCAUUCCAUUUAGGUUCUAUUGAAUAAGGGAGAGAAUUUUCACCAGGUGAGAGAGUCCUAAUUUAUUUUGUAAAUGAUUUAAAUCAGAAUGUAUUGUUUAAUUGACUGCAGGUAGUUGGACCAGGCCAUGUGGGGUCAGGUUAACUUGUGGAUAUACAAAAUUUCUGGAUUUGUAAUUAUUUGAUCAUUUUAAAAGGGAAAUUUAUUUAAUCUAAUACCACUCAAGGAAGGGUUUAUGCAGUUAGACCAGGGGGAAAGACCAAAAUAUGAACAAAUAAAUGUACAAUGAAAAAUGAUAUGAGUGACCUGAAGGCAUGGUAGAAUUGUAAUUUAGGUAUUCAAAAAAUACCUUAGGUUGGGGCUAAAUGAAGAGAUCUCUAAAAUAAAUGACAAAACAGAUACUGAAGGAACAUGACUAUGAUGGGGAAAACUGAGGCAAUUUCCAUGGAAAUUAUAG